rnacentral:rRNA from 1 species
UACGUAGGGGGCUAGCGGCGUCCGGAAUCAUUGUGCGUAAAGAGCGUGUAGGCGGCCCGGUAAGUCCGCUGUGAAAGUCGGGGGCUCAACCCUCGAAUGCCGGUGGAUACUGUCGGGCUAGAGUGCGGAAGAGGCGAGUGGAAUUCCUGGUGUAGCGGUGAAAUGCGCAGAUAUCAGGAGGAACACCAAUUGCGAAGGCAGCUCGCUGGGACGUAACUGACGCUGAGACGCGAAAGCGUGGGGAGCAAACAGG